GGCCCAUUAGCUCAGUUGGUUAGAGCAUCGUACUAAUAACGCGAAGGUCGCGGGUUCGAUCCCCUCAUUUGCCA
rnacentral:tRNA from 1 species